CCCUAGUAACUGCGAGUGAAGCGGGAAAAGCUCAAAUUUAAAAUCUGGCGGUCUUUGGCCGUCCGAGUUGUAGUCUGGAGAAGUGCUUUCCGCGCUGGACCGUGUAUAAGUCUCUUGGAACAGAGCGUCAUAGAGGGUGAGAAUCCCGUCUUUGACACGGACUACCAGUGCUUUGUGAUGCGCUCUCAAAGAGUCGAGUUGUUUGGGAAUGCAGCUCAAAAUGGGUGGUGAAUUCCAUCUAAAGCUAAAUAUUGGCGAGAGACCGAUAGCGAACAAGUACCGUGAGGGAAAGAUGAAAAGCACUUUGGAAAGAGAGUUAAACAGUACGUGAAAUUGCUGAAAGGGAAACGCUUGAAGUCAGUCGCGUCGUCCGGAACUCAGCCUUGCUUUUGCUUGGUGCACUUUCCGGUUGACGGGUCAGCAUCGAUUUUGACCGUCGGAAAAGGGCUGGAGUAAUGUGGCACCUCCGGGUGUGUUAUAGACUCUGGUCGCAUACGGCGGUUGGGAUCGAGGAACGCAGCGCGCCGCAAGGCAGGGGUUCGCCCACUUUCGCGCUUAGGAUGCUGGCAUAAUGGCUUUAAACGACCCGUCUUGAAACACGGACCAAGGAGUCUAACAUACCUGCGAGUGUUUGGGUGGAAAACCCGAGCGCGCAAUGAAAGUGAAAGUUGAGACCCCUGUCGUGGGGGGCAUCGACGCCCGGACCUGACGUUCUCUGACGGAUCCGCGGUAGAGCAUGUAUGUUGGGACCCGAAAGAUGGUGAACUAUGCCUGAAUAGGGUGAAGCCAGAGGAAACUCUGGUGGAGGCUCGUAGCGAUUCUGACGUGCAAAUCGAUCGUCAAAUUUGGGUAUAGGGGCGAAAGA
rnacentral:rRNA from 1 species